rnacentral:rRNA from 1 species
GAUCAUGGCUCAGGAUGAACGCUAGCUACAGGCUUAACACAUGCAAGUCGAGGGGCAGCAUUAAGUUAGCUUGCUAACUUAGAUGGCGACCGGCGCACGGGUGAGUAACGCGUAUCCAACCUUCCCCUUACUCAGGGAUAGCCCGGUGAAAACCGGAUUAACACCUGAUAGUUUCACUAGAUGGCAUCUGACGGUGAAUAAAGCUUUGCGGUAAGGGAUGGGGAUGCGUCUGAUUAGCUUGUUGGCGGGUAACGGCCCACCAAGGCAACGAUCAGUAGGGGUUCUGAGAGGAAGGUCCCCCCACACUGGCACUGAGACACGGGCCAGACUCCUACGGGAGGCAGCAGUGAGGAAUAUUGGUCAAUGGCCGAGAGGCUGAACCAGCCAAGUAAGCGUGCAGGACGACGGCCCUACGGGUUGUAAACUGCUUUUGCGGGAGGAUAAAGGACACUACGUGUAGUGUUUUGCAGGUAUCCCGUGAAUAAGGACCGGCUAAUUCCGUGCCAGCCGCCGC